rnacentral:rRNA from 1 species
CCUACGGGAGGCUGCAGUGAGGAAUAUUGGUCAAUGGACGGGAGUCUGAACCAGCCAUGCAGCGUGCAGGAUGACUGCCCUAUGGGUUGUAAACUGCUUUUGUACGAGAAUAAACCUUUCUACGUGUAGUCAGCUGUAUGUACUGUAUGAAUAAGGAUCGGCUAACUCCGUGCCAGCAGCCGCGGUAAUACGGAGGAUCCAAGCGUUAUCCGGAUUUAUUGGGUUUAAAGGGUGCGUAGGUGGAUUGUUAAGUCAGUUGUGAAAGUUUGGGGCUUAACCCUAAAAUUGCAGUUGAAACUGGUAGUCUAGAGUACAGUAGAGGUAGGCGGAAUGUAUGGUGUAGCGGUGAAAUGCUUAGAGAUCACACAGAACACCGAUUGCGAAGGCAGUUUACUAAACUACAUCUGACAUUGAGGCACGAAAGUGUGGGUAGCAAACAGGAUUAGAUACCCGAGUAGUC